rnacentral:tRNA from 1 species
GGAGGCGUCGCAUAGAGGAUUAGUGCGGUCGUCUUGAAAACGACUAGGGCUGCAAGGCCCUCGCAGGUUCGAAUCCUGCCGCCUCCG